rnacentral:rRNA from 1 species
CCAGACUCCUACGGGAGGCAGCAGUGGGGGAUAUUGCACAAUGGAGGAAACUCUGAUGCAGCGACGCCGCGUGAGGGAAGACGGUCUUCGGAUUGUAAACCUCUGUCUUUGGGGAAGAAAAUGACGGUACCCAAAGAGGAAGCUCCGGCUAAAUACGUGCCAGCAGCCGCGGUAAUACGUAUGGAGCAAGCGUUAUCCGGAUUUACUGGGUGUAAAGGGAGCGUAGGCGGUAAGGCAAGUCUGAUGUGAAAGGCCAGGGCUCAACCCUGGGACUGCAUUGGAAACUGUUUAACUGGAGUGUCGGAGAGGCAAGUGGAAUUCCUAGUGUAGCGGUGAAAUGCGUAGAUAUUAGGAGGAACACCAGUGGCGAAGGCGGCUUGCUGGACGAUGACUGACGCUGAGGCUCGAAAGCGUGGGGAGCAAACAGGAUUAGAUACCCUAGUAG